rnacentral:rRNA from 1 species
AUUGAACGCUAGCGGGAUGCUUUACACAUGCAAGUCGAACGGCAGCGCGGACUUCGGUCUGGCGGCGAGUGGCGAACGGGUGAGUAAUGUAUCGGAACGUGCCCAGUAUCGGGGGAUAACUACGCGAAAGCGUAGCUAAUACCGCAUACGCCCUACUGGGGAAAGCCGGGGAUCGUAAGACCUUGCACUAUUUGAGGUGCCGAUAUCGGAUUAGCUAGCUGGUGAGGUAACGGCUCACCAAGGCGACGAUCCGAAGCUGGUUUGAGAGGACGACCAGCCACACUGGAACUGAGACACGGCCCAGACUCCUACGGGAGGCAGCAGUGGGGAAUUUUGGGCAAUGGGGGCAACCCUGAUCCAGCCAUCCCGCGUGUGCGAUGAAGGCCUUCGGGUUGUAAAGCACUUUUGGCAGGAAAGAAACGUCGCGGGCUAAUACCCCGUGGAACUGACGGUACCUGCAGAAUAAGCACCGGCUAACUACGUG